rnacentral:rRNA from 1 species
CUCGUAGGCGGCCAACUAAGUCAUACGUGAAAUCCCUCAGCUUAACUGGGGAACUGCGUGUGAUACUGGAUGGCUUGGAUUUGGGAGAGGGAUGCGGAAUUCCAGGUGUAGCGGUGAAAUGCGUAGAUAUCUGGGGGAACACCGGUGGCGAAGGCGGCAUCCUGGACCAAUAUUGACGCUGAGGAGCGAAAGCCAGGGGAGCAACG